UACGAGAGGCCCAAACGUUAUUCGGAAUUACUGGGCUUAAAGAGUUCGUAGGCGGCAUUGCAAGUAGGGUGUGAAAGCCCUCGGCUCAACCGAGGAAUUGCGCUCUAAACUGCAGUGCUUGAGGAAGCUAGAGGUGAGCAGAACAGAUGGUGGAGCGGUGAAAUGCGUUGAUAUCAUCUGGAAUACCGGAGGCGAAGGCGGCUCACUGGGCUUUCUGACGCUGAGGAACGAAAGCCAGGUAG
rnacentral:rRNA from 1 species